GCAGCCGGGGUGUUAGCGGUACCUUGAACCUACAAUCCGCUAUAGUAGGGGUGAUGUUGCAUGGAGGGCUUUGUUUUGUGAAGCUGCCCUUUAUAAGUGGCGUAGAUGUUUGGGUCUCGCGCGACGGAAAUCUAUGAACCGUGUCAGGUCGGGAACGAAGCAGCACUAAGUAGAACCUUCCGGGUGCCGUGAGGGUGCCUGGGCUGAGCUAACUGUAAAGGUAACGUUCGGG
rnacentral:SRP_RNA from 1 species